rnacentral:misc_RNA from 1 species
UCCGGCUUAUCGCCGGCAGUCUGCUAUGAAUAUGUAACAUAGCACGAGGGUUGCGCUCGUUACCCCACUGAAGGGUACACCUCACGGCACGAGCUGACGACAACCAUGCAUCACCUGUCUUAGCGCUCCCGAAGGCACUCCUCUGUUUCUAGAGGAUUCGCUAGAUGUCAAACCUAGGUAAGGUUCUCCGCUUAGCAUCGAAUUAAACCACAUGCUCCACCGCUUGUGCGGGUCCCCGUCAAUUCCUUUGAGUUUUAGCCUUGCGGCCGUACUCCCCAGGCGGGAUGCUUAACGCGUUAGCUUCAUGACACCGAAGGGGUCGACUCCUCCGAUGCCUAGCAUCCAUCGUUUAGGGCGUGGACUAC